rnacentral:rRNA from 1 species
AUUGAACGCUUGCGGAAUGCUUUACACAUGCAAGUCGAACGGCAGCACGGGGCAACCUGGUGGCGAGUGGCGAACGGGAGAGUAAUACAGCGGAACAUGCCCAGUCGUGGGGGAAAACGUAGCGAAAGUUACGCCAAUACCGCAUACGAGCUAAGGAUGAAAGCGGGGGACCGGAGGACCUCUCGCGAUUGGAUCGGCCGAUGUCAGAUUGGGUAGUUGGUGGGGCAAGGGCCCACCAAGCCGACGAUCUGUAGCUGGUCUGAGAGGACGACCAGCCACACUGGGACUGAGACACGGCCCAGACUCCUACGGGAGGCAGCAGUGGGGAAUUUUGGACAAUGGGCGCAAGCCUGAUCCAGCCAUUCCGCGUGCAGGAUGAAGGCCUUCGGGUUGUAAACUGCUUUUGUACGGAGCGAAAAGGCUCUCUCUAAUACAGGGGGCUCAUGACGGUACCGUAAGAAUAAGCACCGGCUAACUACGUGCCAGCAGCCGCGGUAA